GUCAUGCCCAGGCUCAUGACCCACAGCCGGAGCUUCGUCGCCAACAGGGGCGACCCUCCUCCGCCGUCGAACAAGAUCCCCAAGAGCCCCUUCCCACCUGAGAAGAUCUCGAUGAGCUUCACGUCCGUGUGGAUCAUGAGCAGGAUGGCCAGGAAGGAGGAGCCCUCCUCGCCGGUCUCCGACGACAACGACGACGUUGGCAGCACAGCCAUGUCCUCCAAGCGGCGCCCCUUGUCGGUCGCUCGGGUGCCGUGCCGGGAAAGCUCAAUGCUCUCGGGAAGCCAUGGAGCAGAGGGAGCAGGCGCAGAAGGUGGCGCUUGAGGCCUUGCGCAACGCGUCGGCGAUGGAGAACAUAGUUAGGAUCUACAAGUAUGUCCAGCAAUGGCACCUCUUUUUCCUAUGGCAAUUUGACACCGUCUGGACAGAGUGGCUUGUCUGCUUGAGCCCGCAUACUACGACGGCCAACUUGCUCGGUGCACACGUCGGUUGGUCCCAGGUCAGGCCCCUCUAGAUCCCACUUGGAAGCUGCAGUACUGGAUGGAUGAGAACUACGCUUACAAUUGCGAGCACUGCAAGGUAUGCAUGUGUCCCUCUUCCACGGAUGUCAACAUGUCGUUUUUUAUAAGUUUUAGACACAGUCUGAUCUAUGUACUUUGUCCCUUUUUCCUUAGCAAACAAUGCAUUCUGCGAUAAUGAGCAUAUAGUGUCGAACUAUUAUUAUAACAUUGCAGUUUUGUUCGAGUCCAAGUUCCCGACCAUCAUCUCACAUAUAGUGUUCUCAAAUUAGAUCGAUAGUAAUGCAAAUUUAUGCUAGAAUGUGCAACAAAACUAUCUUGUUUGUAUCUGUUAACUGUUGAAUCCCCAAGAUGAAUGCCCGUACAAGAAGCUUGUCAAUCCUAAAUUCUUUCUUAGUAAACAUAUUUGAUCACAUAGUUUUCUUUUUUUGUGAAUUCCGAACAUACUACUUGGAGGAAGGAGGGGGCGGCACAGAGAGGGUCCUCACACAGUCCAGUGAUCGACCACGACGACGCGGCCGUGCGGUGGGUACCCACGGACGCCGCUCUGCCGGGUCGGAGGAGGAGUCCAGAUCCGGCACCUCACCAAGGUCGGCGCUGCACGGUGAGUGCAACUGCCUUGAGAAACCCGGCCCGGCCAUCUUCUCCCCCGAGUUGCUGCCACGGCGAACCCUAUAGGCGCCUCUGCGCCCCAGUCAAGUCUCAUGUGUGCGUUGAUUUAGGAGGAGUGUACUGUUGAGAUCAAUGUCGGGAUCCGCAAGUUUCUAUUGCGUAGCAUCAGAUUAAUAUUGCCAAGCAUGAGCUGGCGGGGCAUAUGGAAGAUAUCCCAUGGGCCAGCAGCUGGAGCCUGGAAGCGGAUGUUAAUGCUCCAUAGCAGAGAGUUUAGGUUUACAGCAAACAGCGACUACCAAAUUUUCCAUGUAGGAUAUAAACGGAGAUUGUCAUGGAGAUGGUUGCCAUCAGUUCCAUUUUGUUGCACAUCACAAGCCUGCCAUUUUAGGUUGAUAUAUGUUUUCAAUAUCUUUACCUCUACUAUUUCAAGAAUGUGUGAUGUGUCACUAGCUUAUUCCAUUCUUGCAUUGUAGUACCUUGAGGUCUGACUCAUGCAUGCAGAUGGGGAGAUGCAUUCAUGUGCUUGCUGUUGCGUGCCAGUAGCUUCGUUCAGUUGCUUCAGUGGGAUAAAGUUACUCGAUGUGGAUUUUGUUCUGUAAACGUUCAACAAAUUUGCCAGCGAGUAGUUUGACACAUACGAGCAUGAGGUUCUUCUGGUGUACUUUUGCGGCUGUACUUUUGUUAAUUGAAAGUGGAAUUACCCCAAUUGAUAACCAAAUUUUGUGCUCACUGCCGACAUGGGGUUGAUGAUGACGUCCCAGAGCCCUUGCCUCUGCUUGAUGCUGCGUCGAGCAAGAUGAAGCCAUCAGAUACGUGUGGUGUGUAGAGUCCGUUCUAAUCAAUGGAAAGGAAGUGGAGGAAGGGAAAUUGCCUACAGAGUUAUUUACAUUUCAACCUGAUCACAAGGCCAUUAGAGAUUGGACUAUUCCACUCGGUCCGAACUACAUUAGGUCAAUUGUACAUUUUAUUUCAAGUUACGAAGAAUACGAGCUGAGAACAUAUAGGAGCUCUAUGUGGUUUAAAUAUUUUUAGACGAAGUUUGAUGUACUUCUCAUGAAUAUCUUCGUAAACAGAAAUAAUGGUAAACCAUGCACUGCUACAUUAUGUUUCACCAGAAUCACUCUUUAUAAUAUCUUGUUGCUUUCA